UCUACUCCCUUUCCUACUCCGGUGACGAGCGCCUGCUAGCAGUUCCUCUGAUAGGACGCUCCGAUCUCCCCACCGCAUUUCUGGGGCUGUUCCCCCAAGCCAGGCACAUCUCGGACUUCAUCUCUGCCUCCUGGCUUCCCUGGCUUCCUUCCAGUCUCAGCUUCGCCUUUCCUCUGCCCCUACCCCCAAAUUAUCCUGUAUGUAACCUGUAUGUUCUGCAUGCUGUCUCUCUAGACAAGACUGGGAGCUAAUUAAGAGCAAGGACACAUCCCCAGCACUUAACACUGUUACCUGGCACGUGGUUAGAGAGAAUGAGUUCAUGUUGUAGGUGACCAUACCAGGACAUGAGAUACUCUGCUCCCUUUUUAAGGAACCAGACGACAUUUCCCCAGAAUUCACCUUUUGCUCUUUCAAGUUAGAGACCUUAGACUGUGCAGCAUCGUAAAUGGAGGUUCUCCUAUUCAGUUCCUGUGAUUUAGACCUGGAAGAAAUUAUAGAAUAUAAACUACUUGAGAUAGGGAAACUGAGACCCAGAGAAGAUUUAACUACCAUCACAAGUACAGUGGCAAAUAGCGCUAUGGAACCGGGGUUUGAUGAGUGUCUGUGCCACUUGCUAUCUGUGUCUUCUUGAAAAAGUCACUUAACCUCUCAACUCUGAAUUUAUGAUACUAUGAACUAUGGUUAUCAAACCCCAAAUUCAGGACUUUUCCCACUUUACCAUGCUGCCCUUGAGCAUCACAUUGUUCUUGAAUUGAGUCAAGGUUUUAAAGAUGUCAAACUGUGCCCCAUUCAUUUUUGCAGAACUCAACCUAACAUAAUAAAAACAAAUCUUAACAUAUCUUCAUCUCUCUCCGUAAAACCCACUUAACUCUUCCUCCACCCAAACCCUGCCAUCCCUAUCCCCAAAACCGUAGGGAAAGUUCUAGCUGAUAAUUUAUUGUAACAAAGAAAAAUAGCAAAGCAACAUGUAGCAACCAAAAGGUCAAUUCUGACAGCAUACUGUCAAGGCAAAAGGUGGGGAGAGGAAUGUGUUUCAUUGUCUCUUCUCAGGGACCAAAAUUGUGCUUUACAAUUAAUCUUGGCUCUGCUGCUUCUUAUUGUAUUAAUUUACACUUGUAGCACCCAGUCAAUUCAAUCAAGUGUCCUGGGUUGAUUAAUGAAAUUAUAGGAUGUAAGGGGCAGGUAACAGACAGUAAGAUGUAAAGGUUACAUUUGAGAUUUGGAGUGGUAGUUAUAAGACUUAGUCCUUUUCACAUCCUGAAUGGUCUAGUCACAUUUUAACAAUAUAUUUGCUUAGGAGAGAGCUAGGAAACUCUAAGGACUGACAAAGAAAAUGGAUAUGCCAGUAUCCUUUUCUCCACCCACUUAGUAAACAGCAAGGCCUGAGGAGUUGAAUCUGCCAGCAAUCAGGCUUCAGGAUCAGUGUACAUGAAAGCCUGCUAUGGAAUAACUUGCUCUUCAUCUUACACCUUUUCCUUUGUGAUUCUUGGAGAGUACAGCAAGGGGAUGGAAAGUGGUUUGGCAGUAUCUCCUUUCACUUCUCCCCUUGUCAGGUGCCAAGACCACCCCUCUCUUUUUACUCCUCUCUUUUCACAAUUUGGAGACAACCUGUUUUGCAGAGCAAGCAAGCUGUGCCCUGAGCUUGGCAUAACAACAAUCCUUUGUGCUCACCCUCUGGAUAAACUCUGCCACAGCAAAAUCCCACAACUGUUUCAGACCAGCCCCAAGUGGUCUGUGAACUUGGAUAAAUACCUGCAGGACACAUGUUCCUGUCAUGAAGCCCUGCUAUGCAUCACACUUAUCGCAUUAUUGUUGUUACCUCUCAUUGUCUAUGUUUUUCAGAAUUAACUAUGGCUGUGAUAACCUGUGUAAGCUCUUUGGUAGUUUCAGAAUUAACAGCAGUUGUACAACCUAUGUGACUCUUUGGUCAAUUGUUUUCAUAUUUGAGUCUCCCCAACAGCAAUGGCUUAUUUUAGAAGCAAAUAGACAUAGGAGAUAUACAUUAUGUAUAUAGCCUGUGAGAAGAGACCAGUGGCAAAAUCAAGUCAUGCUAGUGUGAGUAGAGUUUGGCCCCUAGAUAUCCUGGUCAGGAGAUGGCAAUUCCCAAGACUCCCCUUGGGUUCCAGUUCUUUGCAAAAGUGCAUAGCAAUAUACUAGGCUGAGAUGUCAGCUGAGCCCCAAACCAAGGGCAGGGGUGACUACAGCCACGCAACAUCUAGCAGAGUCCAGUGGAGACUGGCAGAGACUAUGACUGAGAUUGGCGGACAUCAGUCCUCCAGUAGCCCUAAAGCAUUGGAGGCAUAAGUGGCUGCCAUACGCCUUAGCCACAUGAGUUCCCUAUUGUAUCCUCUCUUCCUCUGACACCAAGUGUAUUCAGGGGACAGGAUGCCCAAGGUUUGUGGAAAUAUUUUGUUGUCACUGUUCCUACUAUGCUUUUCAGCAAAUACUUUGUGCUCUCGCCAUUCAUUGUGCCCCUCUGACACUACCACAACCCUGGGGACCAUCUCCAGUCAUGCUGAUCUAUAUCUGGCCACUGGCUGGUGACUUUGCACAGCCCUCCCUCACUUAAA